rfam:Bombyx mori DNA, contig: Bm_scaf11179_contig56389, strain: p50T/Dazao, build 2, whole genome shotgun sequence.
CACCAGGCCCUUUUCAGGGCUAACAAUUAUUUCAAUCAAUUACUAU